AUUGAACGCUGGCGGCAGGCUUAACACAUGCAAGUCGAGCGGAGCGAGGGUGCUUGCACCUUAGCUUAGCGGCGGACGGGUGAGUAAUGCUUAGGAAUCUGCCUAUUAGUGGGGGACAACAUUCCGAAAGGAAUGCUAAUACCGCAUACGCCCUAAGGGGGAAAGCAGGGGAUCUUCGGACCUUGCGCUAAUAGAUGAGCCUAAGUCGGAUUAGCUAGUUGGUGGGGUAAAGGCCUACCAAGGCGGCGAUCUGUAGCGGGUCUGAGAGGAUGAUCCGCCACACUGGGACUGAGACACGGCCCAGACUCCUACGGGAGGCAGCAGUGGGGAAUAUUGGACAAUGGGCGGAAGCCUGAUCCAGCCAUGCCGCGUGUGUGAAGAAGGCCUUUUGGUUGUAAAGCACUUUAAGCGAGGAGGAGGCUACUCUGAUUAAUACUCAGGGAUAGUGGACGUUACUCGCAGAAUAAGCACCGGCUAACUCUGUGCCAGCCGCCGCCGUAAUAC
rnacentral:rRNA from 1 species